GCCUCCAUAGCUCAGUGGUUAGAGCGCUGGUCUAGUAAACCAGAGGUCAAGGGUUCGAUUCCCUUUGGAGGCA